rnacentral:rRNA from 1 species
CGUGACCCGCAGGCAGGGCGGAUUACCCGCUGAAUUUAAGCAUAUCAAUAAGCGGUAGAAGAGAAACUAACAAGCGUUCCUUAGUACACGCGCCCGAGCGAAUCGGGAAAGUGCCCAGCUUGAAAUCGUGCGGCUCUUGCCCCCUCGAGAUUGUAGUCUGAGAAGCGUCCUCGAGCGGCGGACGCGGCCCCACAGUCCCUGGAAGGAGGCGCCAGAGAGGGCUGAGAGCCCGUCGUGCCCAGACCCUGUCGCACCACGAGGCGGCUGUCUGCGGAGCUCGGUUGUUUGGGAAUGCAAGCCCUAUCGGGCGCGGUAAUUCCGCGUUCCAAGGCUAAAUAUGGCCUAGAGACCGUGAUAUGCAAACAAGCUACCGGAGGGAAGAUGAAAAGAACUUUGAAAGACGUCAAAGAGUGCUUGAAAUUGUCGGGAGGCGAAGCGGUAUGGCCCGGCGGCGAUGCGCCCCGUCGCCGAUGUGGACGGGUGAUGAGCGGGUCCUCCAUCGACUCGGGGUGUGGACCGGUGCCGGUUGGACGGAGACAAAGCCUUGCCUUUGUUAAGCUUGUGGAGAACGCCUUCGCCCUGAUCGUGGCUGGCAGCCGCGGCUUUGGCCCUUGGUGCUCGCAUCUGCGUUGCUCUCGGCACCGGCCUGUGGUACCAUUCGGCCCGCCUCUUGAAACACGGACCAAGGAGUCUGACAUGUGUUGCGAGUUCAACGGCUGAGAUAAACCCGUAAGGCCGCAAGAAGCCGGUGAGUGGCGACGAUCCCCUGAGGGGUGUGCCACGCCGACCGACCUUGAUCUUCUGAGAAGGCGUUCGACGUGUGAGCAUGCCUGUCGGGCCCGCAAAGAUGGCUGAACUAUCACUGGCAGGUGGCGAGAAGCCAGAGGAAACUCUGGUGGAGGCCGCCAGCGAUACUGACGUGCCCCAAAUCGUUCGUCUACUUGGGUAUAGCCGGCGAAAGACAAUCAACCGUCUAGUAGCUGGUCCCUCCCGAAGCUUUCCCUCAGAUAGCUGGCGAGCCUCGGUGCUGAGUUCUAUCAGGUAAAGCCAAUGAUUAUGAGGCAUCGGGGCGCGCAACGCCCUCGACUAUUCUCGAAACUUUAAAUGGGUAGACGCCGGCGGCUCCUUCGUUGACGCCCGUGCCCACGGAAUCAGAGAGAUACAGAGAUAGAGGCCAUUUUUGGUAAGCAGAACUGCGCGAUGCGGGAUGAACCGGAGCCGGCGUUACGAGUGGCCCAACUGCGCGCUAACUAGAACUCACAAAAGGGUGUUGGGUCGAUUAAGACAGCCAGGACGGUGGCUCAUGGAAGUCGAAUGCCCUAGGAGUGUGUACACCUCACCUGUCGAAUCAACUAGAACCCGAAAUGGCAUGGAGCUGAAGGUGUGACCUUCAUACCCGGCCGUCGGGGCAAGUGCCAGGCCCGAUGAGUAGGGAGGGCCGCCAGCGGUCGCUGCAAAGCCUUGGGCACUUAAGAGCCCGGGCGGAGCGGCCCGUUGCCGUGCGGAUCUUGGUGGUGUAGCCAAAUAUUCAAAUGAGAAACUAUUGAAGCCGAGAGGGAAAGGUCCAUAGUGAAACGGCACAUAGACAUAGAGGUUAGUCGAUCCUAAGAGUCGGGUAAAAAAAAACCGACAGAGAGGCUAUUUCGCCUAGCGGAGCUAUCGAAGGGAAUCGCGAGUUAAAAUUCACUCGAACGGGACCGGGCGGCUGACAGGCAAAAGUAUAGGAGCUCGGAGAUUCCGGCGGCGGGCUCGGGAGAGUAUUAUCUUUUGCUGCUUUAAACAGCCUGCCCAAUAACCUGGAACGGCCUCAGCCCAGGAAGGUAGGGAUCCAUCAGGCUGGAGAGCACGCACGAUCGCGUGGUGUCCGGUGCAGCCCCCGGCGGCCCCUUGAAAAUCCGGAGGACCGAAGUGCCCAUCGACGCACUGGUCGUCUUCAUAACCGCCAUCAGGUCUCAAGCGUGAACAGAAAACCUCUGGUCGAUGGAACAAUGCGUAGGCCAAUGGGGAAGUCCGGUAAAUGGAUCCGUAACUUCGGGAUAAGGAUUGGCCUCUGAGGGCCUGGGCACGGCGACGGGUCAGAGUCCGACCGUCGGCUGUUCUGUGGACUGCCUCGAGCAGCUCAUGGCUGGCCUAGGAGCGGUCGCUGCCGUGUCCGGGCCGGGCGACGGAUGGAACGGUUCCUCACGGGGCCUUCCGGGGUCGAAACAGUCGACUCCAGAACAUGUUAGGACAAGGGGACAUCCGACUGUUUAAUUAAAACCAAAGCAUUGGAUGGUCCCAGCGGAGUGCUAACGGCAACUGUGAUUUCUGCCCAUGCUCUGAUGUCAAAGUGAAGAAAUAUCAACACAGCGCGGGUUAAACGGCAGGAGUAACCUAUGACAAUCUCCUUCAAGGUAGCCCAAAAUGCACUCGUUCAUCUAAUUAGUGACGCGCUAAUGAAUGUGAUUAACGAAAUUCCCACAUGUCCCUGUCUUACUAUCCAGCGACCCACAGCCAAGGGAACGGGCUUGGCAGAAUCAGCGGGGAAGAAGACCCUGUGGAGCUUGACUCUAUGUCCGACUUUUGAAAUACGUUCGAGAGUGUAGUAUAAGUGGGGAACGGAGCUGGCACAGCGAAGGAAAUAACCACUACUUUUAACGUUAUUUACUUAUUCGUGAAUCUGGAAGCGGGGAUCGCCCUCUUUUAGACUAAGGCCGCUUUUGCCGGGCCGAUACCGGGCGGAAGACAUUGCAGGUGGGGAGUUUGGCUGGGGCGCACAUCUGGUUAAAGAUAACGCAGGAUUCCUAAGAUGAGCUCAUCGAAACAGAAAUCUCUUGUGGAACAGAAGGGUAAAAAGCUCGUUUGAUUCUAAUUUUCAGUACAAUCGAACGUGAAAGCAUGUGGCCUAACAGAUCUUUAGAUCUUCGGAAUUGAAAGCUAGACAGGUGUCAGAAAAGUAUACACACAGAAUAACUGGCUCUGUGGCAGCCAAAGCGUUCAUAGCUACGUUGCUUUAUUCUAAUCCUUCGAUGUCGGCUCUUCUAUUCAUACCCGUUAGCC